ACCACAGGUCAGAACGAGCUGCUGAAAACACACAUUCACAUUUAGAUACUGAGGAUUUUUAUUCUUGAAAAAAAGACCAUCUUAUGGAUAUUUCUCACACUUUUAAAGUGGAAAUGUUCUCUGUAACAUCUGCAUCUCUCUGCUGGACUUUACUUUUUGCUUACCUCCUCUGUGUCUCUGCAGACCAGAAAAACAUCAAAGCAGUGGUUGGACAGAUGGUCACUCUGCCAUGUCAAGCUCCAAAAAACAACAAGUCCAUCAUUGCUGCAGAGUGGAGCAGAAAUGAUCUGGGGGAUAAAUAUUUACUUUUGUACUGGAAAGAGCAGUUUGAUCCAACCAAACAGCAUCCAUCUUUCAAGAACCGGGUUGAUCUGCAGGACAUACAGAUGAAGGAUGGAGACGUGUCUUUGAUUCUGAAGGAAGUGACGACUGCGGACAGUGGAACAUACGAGUGUCGUGUUGUACAGAGAGGAACAAAUAUGGAUGAUGAAACCAUCAGCACCACCUACCUUAGAGUCGUUGCUCCAGGUAAGACAGUAGAUUGUGAUAUCAGAGGUGAGGUUGAUUCCCUUAUGUGGCUACAAAAUCAACUAUACAAAGGCCAGAGACAGGACAGCUCUAUUUUUCUCAGAUGGACAUACUAGGUUAAAUACAGUAGGCAAAGAGCCACAUGUUUACCAACACUCAUGGUGCUCAGUGAUGAUUAAUUUUUAAGAAGACAAACAAUUUCUUAGCAAGAAGCCAUGUUUCAAAACACAAACAACACUACCUGUCUGCUGUAUCAUAGAUCAUAGGUUACAUACACAAGAAAACCAUCUAAUUAGAUAAAAAACAUUUAAGUUUCACGGUGGCUUAAAAUGAGAGGAAGAAACUAAUAUAGAUGUAUCAAUGUGUGUACAUGCAUGUGCAGCUUAUCUAAACCUGAAACUAGUUUAUGUGCUUUAUUUGUGCUUCCUCUAUGGUUUUACAUUUUGGUGGAUAAGUUCUAAGAGUUUACAGUAUCAUCACAUUAGAUUUUCCCAACUGAUAACUCUCACCUAUUUCUGACCUGCAGGUCAAACAAGAAGACGCAGAGAGGCUGUUUCUGAUGGAGUGAUAAUUGGUCAGGGGGUUUAUAUUGCAGCUGUUUUUGUUGUUGGCUUGUUUAUCUUUUACAUAUGCUAUAGAAGAAUGAACCACAGGAUAAACUGAUGUUCUGAGGACAGACAGAAAUUAGCAGUGUGGAUAAUAAUGGGUCUUUGGUGGUGGCAAUAGUUACCACAGAUAAAGUUAAACAGUAAGUCUGUGUUAUAAAUUAGCAGAAAUGGGUACUCUCCCCAAAAUGCUAUGUAUAAUUUAUAAUUCAUAUAUUUUCUUUAAGCAUUUCUGACAAAAAUACUUUUUAAAUGUAUAUUUAAUUGUCACAUAGCGUCAUUGUUUCUAAUAAGAUUUUAUGUUGUAGAUCAUAUAUUUUUUGUUCAAUUUAAUUCAAUUUAGUGUUUUUAGAUCAAAAUCGUGACAACGGUUGCCUCAAGAUGCUUAUUACUGUAGGAUUGGGACCCUACAAUAAUACAAAGAAAAUCCCAACAAUCAUAUGACCCCCUGUGAGUAAGCAAUUGGUGACUGUGGGAAGGAGAAACUCACUUAACAGGAAGAAAUCUCCGUGUGAAGGCCUGUACACUCUGAUAUAGUGGUAGGCAGGGGAAGCAGCCAGACACAAAAAGGGUAAACAAUGAUAGUGAACAGACCAAACUGUUAGUGUCGGGUGCAUCAAUGAGAUGUGUAAUUACAUUUCCAGGAAGCUUCUCAACAAGUGAUUGUGUUAGUGAGUUGCAGUGUACUAUUUUACCAGAGUUUGCAGUUGCAGUGUAGAUUUAACACAUGAAUAUAAAUCCACAGUUACAUGGAAGACUCUCUUCUCUUCCUAUCUACAGGAUAGUGGAGAACUAACCCAUGUCCUGAACAACCUGUACAGGCGACUUCAAAUAAUAGUGAAGUAAAGAUGAGCAAGUCAAUGUGCUGUUAACAUGCUAACAAAAUAAACUGAACAUGCUAAACAACCUUUCUGCAUUAUAUCAGCAUGGUUUUGGCAUCACAUAACUCAGCUGUAACCUCUGUGUCUCUGUUCAGACCUGUGACUCUGAAAGUAUUUUAUGAAUGAAGGUGGAGUUUUGUAUGACUUUUUCAUGUUUUCAUGUUACAUAACAAACAUUUAGUUUCACAUUUUUUUAGUUUCUCUUUCAGUGUCACGAGAUUGGGUGGUGUAUCUGUGAACUUAACCACUUGGUCAGCAGUGCAGUUUUCACCACAGAGACAAAGAAGUGUUAAGCUGCCAUUGUAGCCUCGGCAGUGGUCACCAUCACACAGUUGCAGUCAGACACAGUGAGCAUAAACAUGUGUCUCAGUGUGAUGUGUUUCAGGAGUCAGGAUACAGCCAUGAAACUUUUACUUUAUUGUUAAAAAUGUGAUUAGAUUAGUUUGUUUUUCAGUGAUGUGUUGUCAGAUUGACCCUUUUCUUUUCCUUUAGUUUGUCUAUUUAAAGAAGCCAGACAGCUCAUCAAUCAAUCAACAAAAACAUUUAAUGCCUGAAUGAAUUCUCUGAAUGUUAAAAAUGUGAUCAGGUUAGUUUCUUUUUCCGUGAUGUGUUAUUAGUUUGACCCUUUUCUUUUCUUGUAGUUGCUCUAUUUAAAGACUUCCUGUACACUUGCCAGCUCUUUCUGUUUUUUCAGAGGCACCUCAAGAUGUCUGCAAGCCAACUGAAAGAUGAAUCUCUUCAGGAAGUCCUGGGUCUGCCCCAGGAGAACUUCCCCUAGUAAACACAGAAGGGUAACUGAUCACGGGCAGGGUGUAGGUGUUGAUAGCCUGGAUCUUGUUUUUCUUUUCAGUUGACUCCCAUUCACCUGUGGGAUCCCAGGUACUUGUAGCUGUCCUCUGUAUCUGCAAUGUUGCUUUCUGGUAGUUUGAUCCCCUCCAUUCUGACUACCUUCCCUCUCUUUGUUAUCUUCCAACUACAUUUCUCUGAACGACAUUCCUUUGUCAUUGCUGUAUAGCCUGGUAGUGUGGAUCAGUGAAUCGAUGUCUCGUUCACUCUUAGCAUACAGCUUGAUGUCAUCCAUGUACAUGAGGUGGCUGAUAACUGUUCCAUUCUGUAGUCGAUAUCCUUAGCCAUGUUGUCAGUGAUCUCACUGAGGGGGUUCAGGCCUAUGCAGAACAGCAGUAGGGACAGAGCAUCUCCUUGGUAAAUUCUGCACUUGAUGAUGACUUGUUCUAUGGGUUUGAAGUUGACCUCUAGUGCUGUUCACUACAUCAGUAGGGCUUUAGAGUGUGAUGUUGUGGCCAGGUUUUUAGGUUGAGGCGCCAUUUAAGCAGGCCAAACAAAGGGCAAAAGCAUACAGAUAAUAUCAGCCAUGGUCGGUAUUUGCUUUGUUGUUGGUUGUAAUGUUAGAUUGAAUGAUUGGGAAGAGAAUAAGCUGGAGAAUGGGAUCUCUUUUUAUCGUUUCCCCUCCUGAAAGCAACGUCAGGGAUCUCAUGUAUCAGAUAUUAACAAAUGAAGACGUCAGGCUUGGAUAGCAGAGGUGAGACGAACUGAUACCGAGUUCUCUACCAUCCGCAGAUUUCUGUUGGUGUGCUCAGACUUUUUGUUCCGGUAAGUUCUAAACAAAUUCAUAUUGCUCUUUAUGGGCUUUUAGUUUUAUUUUCAAUGUGCUGAGGUCAUAGAAAAAUAGAGCAAACAUCCUAAUGUGUGAUUCUGCAGAACUACAUUCUGUUUAUGGAGUAGCUUAUUAUUUAGCAUUAUUGCAGGUAAAUCAGCCUAUGAAAUGGAUGAAACAAAUCCAGACUGGGCACAUAGGGCAUAAUGUUAGACUUUAAGUGACACACAGUUCAUUUUUGAAUGUAUAAUCUCAAGCUGACUUACCUAUGGCUGAACAACAACCUCCUCACAAUGUGGAGGCUUAAAAACGGCCAAAUCUUGUACCCAAAAGUUUGUGAAUUAGAUGUGCGCCUCCAGGGAUUUAUAAUUCUGAAACUGAUUUGCCGUGUAUGCGUUGACUCUACAGACAAGGUACGUAAAGAUAUCAGGGUAGGACAAUGGCAGUAGGUCUUAAGGGUUUGUACUCCAGUGCCGUAUUUCAUACGGGUCCAUAUUAUCAGUGCACGCUAUUUUUUCCAAGUACCGUCCCUUCACAUCUGGGCGCAAUCGGUCUUGAUACAGUCCUUUGUCUUUUGAGCUGAUUUUAAGCAUGGUUCUAGUAAUCGUCCUUCCAACACAGUGUGUUUGUUUUGAUUCGUGGCCUGCUAAAAUGGUGCCAUACUCCCACAAUGCAUUGAGGCAUUAUGUCAACUGCAAGGCCCUAUAUUGAGUGAAGGCUCUUAGGGUCCUGUUGAUCUUGUACAGUUCAGGAUCCCGGUGUGGACCAUUAAGUUAUGAGUUUUCUUGUAGUCAGUUCAGGCAGUGCACAGGUUGGUCAGCCUGGUCUUGCAAUCUCGGGUGACUGCUCUGCACACACUUUUUUAUUUCAGUAACAAAAUGGAGUGAUCAGUGGCCCCGACAUCAUAUGUCACAACAAAGUGGAGCUCUCUCUCUCUCUCUCUAACCCUCGUUCUCUUUACUCCCUAAGUUUCUUCCCUGUCUCUCCUUUUCUCUGUGUGUAUGUUAUGUCUCUCUAUGUCACUGUCUCCUUGUUUCUGUCUGUUUGUCUUUCUUUGAUCUUUAUCUGCUGCGGGUGCUUAAGGCUCUACACCCUGGGGUUGAUUUACUGUUCUGUUUACUUGAUUUUUCUUGAUUUUUUUUCUUUGUGUAAAAGCUCAAAAAACUGUGUUUCAAAGACCUCUGAUUUUCUCCAGAGGAUGUUUUUUUGUGUAUGUUUUGUCUUUUUUAAUUUGGUUUUAAUAAGUUGAAUCUACAAGUGACAUGCCUGACCAAGUUUAUCAUUUUGGCUCUAGAUGUUUGAGCUGACAUCAAAGGGUGCAGACAGCACACACAGUCUUCAUCCUGACUGUAAUGUACACUAUGAUAGGGUUUCAUUUAAAAUCAACACGUGAGCAGCCCACAGCCAAUCUGUUAAUCUGUAAUUCUCACAACAUUUUUUUUCCUUUUUUAAAAAAAAAUUAAACUGAGACUUUUGCUGUAAAUGUCAUAAAUAACAGGAGAUGGCUGUGCAGGUAAAUUCAUUUUAUAAUCCACUUGAUUAUGGUGAUCUGGUUUAUAUACUGUUACAACAUUGAUCAUAGAUUAUAUCUAGUAAUUACUUUUAGGAUUAUAUCUAUAUAUAAUCUAGAUACUGUUACUGGAUAUAAUCAAAGAGCAGAGGUACCCAAAGAGUGUCUGCAACAGAGCCUUGAAAGUAAACGCCAUGAAAUACUGCCCUCUUCUGUUCACUGAGGAGGACUGAUACAGAAAUAUAAGAUACAGAAAUAAAGACCAAUAAAGAUUCAAGAGGCUUCAAGGGGAAGAGACAUGUAAUGACACUUUCAUGGUCACGGGACACUUUAACAUUGGGUGCACAUCUUGUUCAGACUUAAUUUGAAAAAAAAAAAAAAGUAUUAAAUUAUCUGCUGCACAAAGCAAAGCAUUCUCUGUAUAUAUUUAUUUAGCUGCAGCUGCCUUUGUAUAUAUUCUGUUGAUCUCUGAACAUGAACAUAUACUGUGUUUCUAAAUGAUGCAUUUAUCAACCACUCUAGUUAAACUUUAUAUCUUUUUUAUCUUGAAAAAAAAGUUUAAGAUUUAAUAAUCCCAAAGAUUUUUGACUGCACAUGUUAUUAAUAAAAAAUGAUGCAAAAUC